CAGGGCGGGAUGGGAAUGGGACAGUGGGAAUGGGGUGGGAACGGGGCAGGGUGGGAAUGGGAGAGUGGGAAUGAGGAUGGGGCUGGACAGGACCAGGAGUGAGGGGAUGGGACAGAAUGUGGGAAUGGCGAUGCCGCUGGAUUGCGCCGGGAAUGUGUGUGUGUUCUACAGGCACGUGUUCUGAGCCAGAAAAAAACUGGGGGGAGAGCCCCAAAAACUGGGGGGAGAGCUCAAAAAAUGGGGGGAGCGCCCGGGAGAGGGUGUUUGUGGUUCGGCAAUAAAACAGUUGCACUGCCCCAAGGGGAGUGGGAGUGGGAAUGGGAGAGUGGGAAUGGGGCAGGAUGGGAAUGGGAAUUGAAUUGGGAAUGGCAAUGGGGCAGGAUGGGAAUGGGAAUUGAAUUGGGAAUGGCAAUGGGGCAGGAUGGGAAUGGGAAUUGAAUUGGGAAUGGCAAUGGGGCAGGAUGGGAAUGGGAAUUGAAUUGGGAAUGGCAAUGGGGCAGGAUGGGAAUGUGAGAGGGGGAAUGGGGUGGGAUGGGAAGGGGGAUGGAUAGGACCAGGAGUGAGGGGAUGGGACAGGAUGGGAAUGGGAAAGAAUAGAAAUGGGAGCGUGGAAAUGGGGCAGGAUGGAGAUGGGAAUGUGGGGUUGGGGCAGGAUGGGAAUGGGAAUGAGGGGAAGGGGCAGGUGGGACUGGAAGGAAAUAGGAUCAUGGGAAUGGGGCAGGAUGGGACCAGGAGUGUGGGGUUGGGAUGGGGGUGAGAGAGUGGGAUGGGGUAGGAUGGGAAUGGGAUUGGAGACAGGGAUGGGAAUGGGGAUGGGACUGGGGAUGGGACUGGGGAUGGGACUGGGAUUGGGAAUUGGGUUGGGAAUGGAAUAGGGAAUGGGGAUGGGAAUGGGAAUUGGGUUGAGAAUGGGAUUGGGAUGGGGAUUGGGGUCAGGAUUACUAUUAUGGUUAAGAUUGGUAUUUGGAUUAGGGUCAAAAUCAGUAUUAGGAUUAUGAAUAUUGUUAGGAUUAGGACUGGGAUUGGGAUUUGGAUUGGGAUUAGGGAAUGGGAUUGGGAAUGGAGUGCUGAGCCUGCCAGCACAGGCAAGGAGGGCUCUGCAUCCAAGGAAAAGCAGGAAGAGGAGGAAGGAGGAAAUCCCAGAGAUUGGGAUCAGGGAUGUGACAUCCAAAAAAUCCCCAAAGAGCCCGAAUCAAAAAAAUCCCAAAAUCCAAAGGGUCAGAAAGGAUGGAAAAUCCAGAAGGGAAAUUCCUAAGGCUCCAAAUGGGAAUGACUGGGAUCACUGGGAGGGCUCAUGGAAACCCCACAGUUUUCCAAGGAAAAUUCCAGCCCUGCUCCCUUCCAAAAAAAGUUUAUUUGGGAUAACGCCUCGCCCGAAAUUUACAGCAUGAGGAGGGAGGAGAAAGGAGGGAACUGGGGGAGAAAUCCAAGGAAAACUGGGAAAAGGAGGAGGGGAGGGUGUGGGAUCACACCAGGGGGUGGAUCCCAUCCUGGCCAGCCCCAAAUGGGAUUUUUUAGGGGGGCAUUUCUGUAGGGAAAUGGUUCCAGAAGGGCUGGGAAAACUGGGAGCCAGGAAUUCCAUGAGCUCAGCCCUGUUCAUGGUCCAGUGACCCCUGAUCCUGCUGAUCCAGGAAUUUAGGGAAUGGGAAUUUGCAGGGAUGAGCUCAUCCAGCAGGAAUGGGGCUGAUUGCUGCUGCUUUCCCAGGAUUCCCACUUUCCCUGGAAAAGGCUUCUCUGGUUUGGGAUUCCCAAUCCCAAAAAAUUCCUGAUUUCCUUGGAUAGGAAUUCCUAAUCCCAAAAAGUUCCUGAUUUCUCUGGAGAAGAGGGAUUUCUGACCUGGAGAAAUUAAACCUUUUUUUUUUUUCUCAUGGAUUCCCAAUCCUGGGAAGUUCCUGAUUUGCUUGGACUGGGAUUUCUGACCUUGGGAAGCUCCCACUUUUCCUGGAUAGGGAUUCCCAAUCCCAAGGAGCUCAUAUUUUUUCCUCUGUAGGGAUUCCCAAUCCCAAAAAAUUCCUGAUUUCCCUGGACAGGAAUUCCCAAUCCCAAAAAGUUCCUGAUUUCUCUGGACAGGGAUUUCUGACCUGGAGAAAUUCCUUUUUUUUUUCUCAUGGAUUCCCAAUCCCAAAGUUUCUGAUUUUCCUGGAUAGGGUUUUUGACCUUAAAAAGUUCCUCCUCUCCUUGGACAGGAAUUCCCAAUCCCAAAAAGCUCCUGAUUUCUCUGGGUAGGAAUUUCCAAUCCCAAAAAAGUUCCUGAUUUCCAUGGAUAGGGAUUCCCAAUCCCAAAAAAUUCCUGCUCUCCUUGGAUAGGGAUUCCCAAUCCCAAGGAGCUCCCACUUUCCCUGGACAGGGAUUUCUGACCUGGAGAAAUUCCUUUUUUUUUUCAUGGAUUCCCAAUCCCAAAAAGUUCCUGAUUUCCCUGUAUGGGAUUUCAGACCUGGGAAUUUCCCUCCUUUCCCUGGAUUUCUGAGCCUUUUAAAACCUUGGGAGCAGCUGGGAUUUAGGGAACUGCAGCUUUCAUGGAUGGGGAAGGAAAUGAAUUCCCAGGAUCAAAUUCUGAUCCUUGGAAAAGGGAUCAGCAGCAGGAUAUUCCCAAAAAACCCCUCAGGGGGGUUCAUCCCAACAGAGGAUCCCUUGGAAUGCUGCUCCAACCCCUCCCUCCCUCUCCUCUCUGCCAGGAAUUCGGUUUUCCUUGGAUUUUCAUCCAUGAGGAAUUAGGGGUGUAGUGUCAGAUGAGGAAUUCCUUAAGGGGGGAAGAGAAUUUGAGGAAUCCAGGUUUCCCUAAAAACCUCAGGAAUUGGCAGGAUCCCCUGCUCAGCUUCCACCUGGAGGAAUUUCAGGAUCACACCUUGGAACCCUUCAGUUCCAGCAGGAAAAAUCCCAUUGCAGAAAAUCAGGGAAAACCUUGGGAUCCCUAGGGGGGGGGGGGGGGGGGGGGGGGGGGGGGGGGGGGGGGG
rnacentral:lncRNA from 12 species